rnacentral:tRNA from 1 species
CGGGGUGUGGCGCAGCUUGGCUAGCGUGCUUGAUUUGGGAUCAAGAGGUCGCAGGUUCGAAUCCUGUCACCCCGA